rnacentral:rRNA from 1 species
GACAGAGGGGGCAAGCGUUGCUCGGAAUUACUGGGCGUAAAGGGCGCGUAGGCGGGAUGGCAAGUCGGUCGUGAAAUCCUUCGGCUCAACCGAAGAACGUCGAUCGAUACUGCUGUUCUUGAGGGUUGCAGAGGAGACUGGAAUUCCCGGUGUAGCGGUGAAAUGUGUAGAGAUCGGGAGGAACACCGGUGGCGAAGGCGGUUCUCUGGGCCUGUGCUGACGCUGAGGAGCGAAAGCGUGGGGAGCGAACAGG